GGAGGCAGCAGUAGGGAAUCUUCCGCAAGGCAGCAAGCGUAAUCGAGCACAGCCGCGGGAGUCAUGAAGGCGCCCGGCUGGGGGGCCAUGCGGCCGCAGCAGCCGCGGCAACGGACCAGCAGCCGCGUCAACGGAGGAGCGCCCAGCCCC
rnacentral:rRNA from 1 species